rnacentral:rRNA from 1 species
AUCAACGCUGGCGGCAGGCUUAACACAUGCAAGUCGAACGGUAACAGGUCUUCGGAUGCUGACGAGUGGCGAACGGGUGAGUAAUACAUCGGAACGUGCCUAGUAGUGGGGGAUAACUACUCGAAAGAGUAGCUAAUACCGCAUGAGAUCUACGGAUGAAAGCAGGGGACCUUCGGGCCUUGUGCUACUAGAGCGGCCGAUGGCAGAUUAGGUAGUUGGUGGGAUAAAAGCUUACCAAGCCGACGAUCUGUAGCUGGUCUGAGAGGACGACCAGCCACACUGGGACUGAGACACGGCCCAGACUCCUACGGGAGGCAGCAGUGGGGAAUUUUGGACAAUGGGCGAAAGCCUGAUCCAGCAAUGCCGCGUGCAGGAUGAAGGCCUUCGGGUUGUAAACUGCUUUUGUACGGAACGAAAAAGCUCCUUCUAAUACAGGGGGCCCAUGACGGUACCGUAAGAAUAAGCACCGGCUAACUACGUGCCAGCCGCCGCCGUAAGAC